CACAAAAUCCAAUCUCACUCUCCUUGUUCUUCUAUGACUCAAAUCACCACCGCCAACAUCCACCGUCCGACCACCACCUCAACCAUCGACCACCACUGUCUACCACCUCUGACAACCACCUCAACCACCCUGACCGCCGUUGCCCCCCAGCACCACUGUACCCCACCGUACUCCCUCUCCUUUCCUACGCAACUCCCCUGUCCUCUCCCUCUUUUCUCUUCGCAACACCACCCCCGACAACCACCACCACCUCCAUCACCUUGCCAAUCAACCACCGCCACAAAACAACCCAGCGAGCCUCCCUACCGCCGCCCAGAACGCCCAGAAACACCCCCUCCCGAACCUCCCCUGCUUCCCCUCCUUCGCAACUCCCUCGCCUUCCUCUCUUUCUCUGCUGCGCCGCCCAUCGGCCACCACCACCUCUGUCUCCCUACUGUCACUCUCUGGCGCGGUAUUGCGCCGCUGCGACACCUAGGCCGCCGCCCAGCCGAGGUGAGCCACCCCUACCUUCGCGGUCCACCGCGCCUUGCCUCCCUCCUAACUCGACUCCCCUGCUCUCUCUCUGAAUCGCACAACCACCGCGCCACUGUGCUGGCGUUACCGUCGGCGCCGCUCAGGCCGCACAGACCCGCCGCCCACCCUCCUUCCUUUCCUCCUCCUCCGUGCCCUGCUGCUGCGUUCCCUCUCUCCUUUGCUCGACAUUCAAAAGUCAGAAAACCCAAAUUCCUUACUUAAGAAUCCUAUUAAACCAAAAACAAAAGGGCUGGGCCCAAUUCUAACCACUUGGGCAUUGGAAAUUGGACUCGGGGCUCAGGAGGAACGAUCCAUCAGACGGGAAGUAUAAAACUACGGUUGAGGUACUGCGGGAACGAUGGAAACGAGUAGUGGCGAGGAAUUUCACUUUAAUAUUAUUCACCUAGUUUAUGCUUAAUGUUUUAAUAGUUUAAUUAAAGACUCUUAAGUAGUUAUGUACUUUUAUUUUGGGGAAUAUAAAAGAUUGUUAUAUUAAUUUGGGUUUUGAUAGCUU